UGGGGAAUAUUGGGCAAUGGGCGCAAGCCUGACCCAGCAACGCCGCGUGAAGGAAGAAGGCUUUCGGGUUGUAAACUUCUUUUCUCAGGGACGAAGCGAGUGACGGUACCUGAGGAAUAAGCCACGGCUAACUACGUGCCAGCAGCCGCGGUAAUACGUAGGUGGCAAGCGUUAUCCGGAUUUACUGGGUGUAAAGGGCGUGUAGGCGGGGAAGCAAGUCAGAUGUGAAAACCAUGGGCUCAACUCAUGGCCUGCAUUUGAAACUGUUUUUCUUGAGUACUGGAGAGGCAGACGGAAUUCCUAGUGUAGCGGUGAAAUGCGUAGAUAUUAGGAGGAACACCAGUGGCGAAGGCGGUCUGCUGGACAGCAACUGACGCUGAGGCGCGAAAGCGUGGGGAGCAAACAGGAUUAGAUACCC
rnacentral:rRNA from 1 species